UUCUGACCGUAAACGAUGCCAACUAGCGAUCCGCCGGUGGCUUCUAGGCCCUGGUGGGGAGCUUCCCGGAAACGAAAGUCUUCCGGUUCCGGGGGAAGUAUGGUUGCAAAGCUGAAACUUAAAGGAAUUGACGGAAGGGCACCACCAGGAGUGGAGCCUGCGGCUUAAUUUGACUCAACACGGGAAAACUCACCCGGCCCGGACACCGUGAGGAUUGACAGAUUGAUAGCUUUUUCAUGAUUCGGUGGUUGGUGGUGCAUGGCCGUUCUUAGUUCGUGGAUCGAUUUGUCUGGUUUAUUCCGAUAACGAGCGAGACUCCAGCCUACUAACUAGUGCGGGCAUUGUCUCUGUGCUUGUCACUUCUUAGAGGGAUUGGCUGCGUCUAGCGGCACGAAACGGAGCAAUAACAGGUCUGUGAUGCCCUUAGAUGUCCGGGGCUGCACGCGCGCUACACUGGCAAAAGCAGCGUGCUUGUCCGCCUCCGAAAGGAGCCGGUAAACCCUUGAAAAUUUGCCGUGAUUGGGAUCGGAAAUUGCAAUUAUUUUCCGUGAACGAGGAAUUCCUAGUAAGUGCGAGUCAUCAGCUCGCGUUG
rnacentral:rRNA from 1 species